rnacentral:rRNA from 1 species
UACGUAGGGGGCGAGCGUUGUCCGGAUUUAUUGGGCGUAAAGAGCUCGUAGGCGGUUCGGUAAGUCGAAUGUGAAAUCUCCACGCUCAACGUGGAGGGGUCAUUCGAAACUGCCGUGACUUGAGUACGGUAGGGGAGUGUGGAAUUCCCGGUGUAGCGGUGAAAUGCGCAGAGAUCGGGAGGAACACCCGUAGCGAAGGCGGCACUCUGGGCCGAUACGUGACGCUGAGGAGCGAAAGCGUGGGGAGCAAACAGG